AAUGAUGAUACAUCGCGUGAGGCGCAGGACAAAAUGUCAACAACCUGCCCAGGGCUGCUGAGAGAAGCAGCGAAUUUGAUUGAAGAAGCUCUGAGCAGAACUCCUCCGGCUCCGGCGGCUCAGUCACAGCAAAUACCUGCUGCUCCAUCACGUAACGUUACACCUGUCCAAGGGAGUGACAACGAUCCCAUGGUUAUAACAAAUAAACUGGAAGUGUUUCCGAAGCUCAAAGAAGGGGAAGGCUUAGAAUUUCUAAAAAUUGCAGGAUCUACUCGUAGUCGAAAUCUUGUGUUGCUUCCGUGUCCCAGCACUGGAUGCACCAUUGCCUAUCUGAAAGAUCCAUCGACGAUGAUUGGACAGGCUACAAUCUACAUACGUCCACUUCAACAGGAUCUACCCAUAGAUUGUGAGAGCUCACAAACUGCAUCUGGUCCAGUCAUCCCCUGCAUCACCUGUCAAGAGGAAGUUCUCUUUUCAGAGAUGAAGCUGCACAGAUUGAGCUGCAAUGGGACACCGAUGCAGGAAUCAGAAAGAGAACAAGAGGGAGGCCGAAGUGAAGAAAAUGAUAGAGAGACAGCCCCAGUCAGUGACAGUGUUCCAGUGAGGCCUGGAACAUCAGCUGAGAGUGCACUUGUACCAACAGUGAUUGACGAGGACUUGGAUCACAAAGAAACAGACAAUGAAUGGAAGCUUAUAAAAGAACCAGCUCAAGCUGCCAAAGUUUUCAAAGAGAAUCUGCUGUGGGAACAUGCAUCUGGAAAACCAUUGAGAAUGAAAAUGGACGUAAGGGACUCUGAAGAGGACAGGGAACGGGAACUUCUCAUUCUAUAAACAGCCGCAAGAAUGGGCAUGUCCACUUCACUGUACUCUUCUUGGUGAUGCUGUCGGAGAGGGAGUGAUGCGGUACUUUAUGACAACAAUAACAUCCAAACUGCAGUUUGGAUUCAGUCUAGAUCUUGGAGGAAUGGGCCGAACACUGCUUUUUGAGGGUGAACCUGACCAUCUUGUUCCAGCAGCAUCAGAGGUGCUUAUUGAAAGCGACCUCUUCCGGGUUGCCGGAAGGAUAUUGGCCCACAGUUUCCUGCAUGAUGGCCCCCGUGUCACAGGAUUAAGUCCUGCUGUAGUUCAUGUACUGUUCAAUGGGGACCCUGAAACAGCAACUGUUGUUACAGAAGACUGUCCUGAUCUGCACAUCAGGAGUAUCAUAAAACUGCUUGAACAUGAAGAACUUACGCCAGAACAGAAGCACACAGUUUCAGAUCUUUCCCUGUCUUGGGAUCUCCCGGCAGUCAACAAAACAAAUCGAAGAUGGCUACAUAACAAACUUCUACUGCUACAAACUUCGCGCGCCAAACUGUGUUUUAAGGAAGCGCAUCUGUCAAUAGGAUGGAAGCGCAAAGCUUACCAUCGAGUUAUUGACGCGUUCAUUGCUUGGCGAAUAAAAGAUGGAGGACCUCCAUGGAAAACGGACAUUUUCUGCCGCGUGGGAUCAUUUUGACCUUCUGCCGGAAAAUAAGGUAAAAUGUCGCAUUUGUGCGGCAGUUUCUAUGUACACCAGCAUCUUCUGUGCCUUGCGAACGCAUAUUCUCCAAAGCAGGAGAAAUUGCGUCAAAGAAACGAAAUAGACUGAAUUACAAAACACUGGAG